UGGGUCCCCUCACAGCACCCACGGCCCCUGCUGCUUGCCAGAACACUUUUGGCUGCUUGUAGUGCAAAUAUUUUAGGAAUUGAGUUUGAUCCUUGGACCACCAGAGACCCUGGCAUCUGGGCUGCAUUUUUUUUCCACAGAGCUGUAGGGAAAGCAGGACAGGAAUGUUCCCAUGAGGGGGAAUCAAUGUCUGCCGGGCUGGGUCAGUGGUUCUAAACUGGUGUGAUUCUGCCCUGAAUGAAGUGUCACUGUGCUUUCCCACCUGUGUGGAUGGAACAGAACAUGAGCAGUUGGAGGUUUAGGGUCAGUCAGAAAAAUAAAAUGUGAAUUGUUUGUAAUUUCCUGUGGAAAAGCUUCAGACAUCUAACCUCAAGACAGAAGAAAAUGCAUUGUGUGUUAAUCAGGCAGAACAAGGGGAAUAGGAAAAUGGGAGCCUGGAUGCAAACACUUCACAAAUCUCAGUGAUCUGCCACUGUGACACCAGCGUUUCAAGGUGCUCCCAGGGAACACACAAGAAGAGGAGGCUGGUAAAUCAACAAGAACAAAAGUCCCAGGCUUUCUUCAGCCUGACUGGAGAGCAGCAGUGACAGUGAUGAGUCAGUGGACAGUGCUGGCCCCUCUCCAGCCUUUCCCUCAGCCCCAGGUGCUGGUGGUGUUUGCACUCAGCAGUUUUGCCGGCUGCAGGAGCUUUGGAAGGUGUUUUCAUGGACUGCUAAGGUGGGCUUGGAAGGGAAACUCAAUGCACUGUUUAUCUAUGACCAUGAACCUUUC